AGCUGCUGUCUAGUCGAGACUCGUAUUCUAAAACCGCGGAUGGCUCUUUGCCAACUAUGAUUUGAGAGAAAUAAACUUUGUUGCUACAAGACAACUGUGGUAAUUCUAGAGCUAAGAAUUUUAAGAAUGCUGUGACUUCGGAAGCAGCGGAUUUAUUAGAUCAAAACUAACCUGUCUGCAAAGGCAGUUAAUUGAUGACUCUGGAUAACUUUACUGAUCGAACAACCUUGUGUUGACGUCAAAUCUCUUGAAAUGGCUGACCUAUCAACUUUCGAUGGUAAGAUCAAAGCUUACCAUGGUUGUAACGGGUAACGGGGAAUCAGUGUUCGAUUCCGGAGAGGGAGCCUGAGAAACGGCUACCACAUCCACGGAAGGCAGCAGGCGCGUAAAUUACCCAAUACCGGCUCGGUGAGGUAGUGACAAAAAAUAACAAUAUGGGCCCUAGUGGUUUCAUAAUUGCAAUGAGAAUAUUUUAAAUACUUUAUCAAGUAUCAAUUGGAGGGCAAGUCUGGUGCCAGCAGCCGCGGUAAUUCCAGCUCCAAAAGCGUAUAUUAAAGUUGUUGCAGUUAAAAAGCUCGUAGUUGAAAUUUAGGAUUCUAGAUUCUUUUCUAUCUUAUGAUUGAAAUAAAUUUAGUCCUUUUGUGUCGUGUAUAUUAAUUAGUUACUUUAUUGUAUCUGGUUAAUAACCGGCUAGUUUACUUUGAAAAAAUUAGAGUGCUUAAAGCAGGCUUAUGCUUGUAUAUUGUUGCAUGGAAUAAUAAAAUAGGACUUCGGUUUUAUUUUGUUGGUUUUCGAAACUGAAGUAAGAUGAUUAAAAGAGACUGCCGGGGGCAUGUGUAUGCUGGUGUUAGAGGUGAAAUUCUUAGAUCAUCAGCAGACAAACUACUGCGAAAGCAUUUGCCAAGAAUGUUUUCAUUAAUCAAGAACGAAAGUCAGAGGAUCGAAGACGAUCAGAUACCGUCCUAGUUCUGACCAUAAACUAUGCCAACUGACAGUUAGCUAAGGUAUAUUCAUAUCCUUGCUAGAAGUCACCGGGAAACCAAAGUCUAUGGGUUCCGGGGGAAGUAUGGUUGCAAAGCUGAAACUUAAAGGAAUUGACGGAAGGGCACCACAAGGAGUGGAGCCUGCGGCUUAAUUUGACUCAACACGGGAAAUCUCACCCGGUCCGGACACUGUGAGGAUUGACAGAUUGAUAGCUCUUUCUUGAUUCGGUGGGUGGUGGUGCAUGGCCGUUCUUAGUUGGUGGAGCGAUUUGUCUGGUUAAUUCCGAUAACAACGACUCAGCCUGCUAAAUAGGAUCUGUGUUAAAUCGCA
rnacentral:rRNA from 1 species